GGAUAUGUUGUGCAAGGGUGUACAAUAUGACUGCAAAUCGUAUUUAAGAGGUUCAAUUCCUUCUUAUCCC
rnacentral:tRNA from 1 species